UACGUAGGGUGCGAGCGUUGUCCGGAAUUAUUGGGCGUAAAGAGCUCGUAGGCGGCUUGUCGCGUCGAAUGUGAAAUCUCAGGGCUCAACUCUGACAUUGCAUUCGAUACGGGCAGGCUAGAGUUCGGUAGGGGAGACUGGAAUUCCUGGUGUAGCGGUGAAAUGCGCAGAUAUCAGGAGGAACACCGGUGGCGAAGGCGGGUCUCUGGGCAGUAACUGACGCUGAGGAGCGAAAGCGUGGGGAGCGAACAGG
rnacentral:rRNA from 1 species